rnacentral:rRNA from 1 species
UACGUAGGGUGCGAGCGUUAAUCGGAAUUACUGGGCGUAAAGCGUGCGUAGACGGUUCGUUAAGUGCGUCGUGAAAGCCCCGGGCUCAACCUGGGAAUGGCGAUGGAAACUGGCGGGCUGGAGUAUGGCAGAGGGGGGUGGAAUUCCGCGUGUAGCAGUGAAAUGCGUAGAGAUGCGGAGGAACACCGAUGGCGAAGGCAGCCCCCUGGGCCAAUACUGACGCUCAGGCACGAAAGCGUGGGGAGCAAACAGG